rnacentral:rRNA from 1 species
GUUUCAGCCGCCGCGGUAAUACGUAGGUGGCAAGCGUUGUCCGGAUUUACUGGGCGUAAAGAGCGCGCAGGCGGUCAGAUAAGUCGAAUGUGAAAGCCCCCGGCUCAACUGGGGAGGGUCAUUCGAUACUGUUCGACUCGAAGGCAGGAGAGGGAAGCGGAAUUCCCGGUGUAGUGGUGAAAUGCGUAGAUAUCGGGAGGAACACCAGUGGCGAAGGCGGCUUCCUGGCCUGUUCUUGACGCUGAGGCGCGAAAGCUAGGGGAGCAAACGGGAUUAGAAACCCGUGUAGUCC